CGUUCGCGGAGCGCGGUCUUAUUUUCCAGUAGUGCCUAAUUUGUAGUUUCACAAUAAUACUUGCAAUAAUAUACGAUUUCUACUAUUUGCGCUUAGCGCUGUUGUGUAUAAGUAACUUGUAUUAUCGUAUUUAGCAGUAUUUCAUGACGCGGUGGCAGUUAAUCUAAGUGCGCUUGCUCCGUACAAGUUUAGUCAGUUCCUAUCGACGGUGCGUCCGAAGUAUGUAUUUUUGUGAGUCGUUUGGUUUAUUGAAAUUGUAUUUCAGUAAAUCGCGUGUUUAAGAGUACCAGUGCUAGAUGUUUUGUUAUCGAGUGUAGCGUGCCAGUAUAACGGCGUGGGAUUUAAUUUUUCUGGUCUUUCUAGAACGUGUUCUCGGAGGAUAGCCGCACGAAGCUUGAUUCAAAAUGUGCGAGAUUUGGAAACUUCAGUAGGGUAUUAAAAGAAGUUAUUACUCAUGGAAAUAAACUUCGCUUGUAUCUCGUGUAGAAAGAUAACUAAUGCCGGAACAAUAAAUUAUUAACAUAAAACUAUACUUUUGUGAUUGUCGGACUUUUAAUAAAAUAUAAGUUAACAUUUCAA